rnacentral:lncRNA from 1 species
AGGAACAAGAACAAAAAACUUCAAACGGACUAGGGGAAGGCCAAAAUACGCAGCUACCUACCGUAGCUUUCUUCUUCAUUUUGAAGAAGAGAUACACAGCCAUAAUCACGUCAACAGCCCCUCCACAUCGCCUCCGUCGUCCCCAAACAGUCUGCGACCAUACUGUUCAGUCCGCCAGCCCCACUUCAUAACCAGUUGUCAACCACCAGAAUAACCAGUCCCCAUCGUCCCAAGCCCACGACCAAACUGCCCAGUCCCCGUCGUCUUCCUCUCCUGAGCAGCCCGCCUGCUUCAACUCACGGUCGCAACCAGCCAGUAGCCCCCGCGCCAUAACCAACCUCCACGACGCAUCCGUUCAACCACUGUCCAGCUCCGUCGAUAGCCCAACCACCUUCACGUCCAAACGACCACCCAGUCCCCUCACGUUCAAACGCACACUCUGCUGCUCUCUUCAUCUCCUCCUCCAGCAGUCCGACGGAGAACAAAACCCCGAGCAGAUUGCGUUCGAGUUAGAAAGAUUUCCGUUGAGGUCAUCGUUGUUCGUCGAGGUUCGGUGCGUCGAGGUCAGUGUCGAGUUUCAAAUUAAUGCAAAGGUCCACGCUUUGACUCUUAUUUUCGAUUCUUCUGUUUCUUUAACAAUUAUCAAUUGGCAAACUUGAUUCUUGAUACUUUAAUGUUUGAAUUUGCAUUUUUACUGAAGGUUGUCCCUACUUACUACUCUAGCAACUUAUGUGAUUGUUUGUUGGUAUGUUUCUGUUGAUUUUCCAUGGUUUGAAGCUCAUGUUUGCUGCUUAUCUUAAUUAGUAUUGGGAAUCUAAUGUGCUCAUUAUUUUUGACUUGGACUAUCUCGCGAACCAAUUUAAGGAGGAAAAUGAACUGAUUAGUUGAGUUGAAUUGAAAAGGCCAUGCAAUAAAAAAAAUUGAAAGAAAACAGACAUGCUAUCAUCAUAAAUUAGUCUAUCACCGUGAUUGUGUACACAUUCGCGUCAUGUAAAUACGUUUCUUUAAGGAUAGAUUGAGACGAGCCUCGCCAAAAUAAAAAAUGCAUAAAUUUGCGGGGCCCUCAUAAUUGUUUAUAUUAAAAAUACUUAUACUCUGUGAUGUGCCGUUUAGCUAAUUGAACGGCCUUCCCCAAAAUAAUAACGCGUUACACUCUUUAGGCGCGUAUUUUAAUAACAUUACCUUCUUAAACCCGGAUGUACAUUGAUGUGACCCAAAUCCAAAUCUCGACGAAGUCGAAAUAUGUUGACGACCACGGGUCUCUUGAUGGUGACGUGGUCAGAGACGUGUUUUCACGACGUCGCAAGUCUUUAUUAAAUAAAUAAUGAUAAAAGCGGUAUAUAAAUAAAAGGCACAUAAGCUAGCAUGUAUUAGAAUCAGAUAAAAUCAAAUACAACAGUUAAGCGACUGUGCUAGAACCACGUAACCCGGGAAUGCCUAACACCUUCUCUCCGGUUAACAGAAUUCUUUAUCCGGAUUUCUGGUUCGCGGACUGUGAACAGAAUCAUCUUUUUCCUCGAUUCGGGAUUCAAUCAGUGACUUGGGACACCAUUAAUCUCCCAAGUGGCUACUCUGAAUAGAUAAUAAUAAAAUCUCGUUCUGGUUGUCCAUUAUUCGGAAAAUCUCUUUUAUGCUCCGUUGGGGGGGUGUAUAGCGAAAAAAAGAGGUGUGACACCCGCACGUGAAUAGUAACCGCGCGGGUGAACAAUGAAUAGUGACCCACGCGCAUGAACAGUACCGAAUUUCUGGACAGAUUUAAUUAAGAGCAGUCCGAGUUUGGUCAUCUUUUUUUUACUUCCAAGCUUGGAUUUUGGGUGAUUUUUAGCAAGAAAUCUUGGAAAUCUUGAGAUAAGUCACUUGUGAUUAUUUCUACUCCAUAAUAUUGAAUUAUCAUCGAAUAAUUCGACUAGAUUACAUGUUUUUGAGGAGUAAAUUGAGGAUUUAAGCCUAGGGAUUUGAAAAUAAGAUUUGAAGGGGUCAUUUGAACUCCGAUUUUGGUAAAUUUUAUAUGUAGGGGCUCGUGGUGAGACGAGGAGUCCGGUGGUGUGACUUUCGUAAUUUUUCGAGAAGUGGGCUCGGGGCUCGGGUUUUGCGAAUUUUGUGAAUUUCGAUAUUUUUUGAGUCUUUUCGAUUGGGUUAUAUUCCCUUAGCCUAUUGUAAUGUAUUCGUUUUGGUUUUGACCAGAUUCGAUGCGUGAAGAGGUAAAUUCGAGAUUCAAGUGCAUAGCGGAGUAGACGUUGGACCGUCUUGAGGUGGGUGAUGAUUUUAAAUGAUGCAUUGAGGGUUUGUAAACCCAAAUUGCAUAACAUAUUGCUAUGCUGAGAUGAGACACGCAUUGUAUGACGAAUGCGGGGUCAUUUACUAUUGGGGAUUGUGACAUGGUCAAUCCCGGUUGAUAUUUUACUGCGUAUUUAAUAAAGAUUUAUUGUUUUAUACCAUGAUUUGGGCUUAUUGCCAUAUUUGGUCUUCGUGCCAAAAUUUUGAAAUAUUUUGUGAAUUACAUCACCAUUUUCCUCACCAAUUGAAAAUUUGCACUCAGUCCAAUGGAAUUAUAUUAUUUUGUAAACUCAGCUACAUUUAUACUCAACUCGUGUUUAAAUGAUAUUUAUAAUAUUGAUGAGCUGAGCACUAUUGUUUUACUGAUGCCCAAGAGGCUUAUGAUUAUUUUCUGGACUAAUUGACGCCAAGGGCCAUCUGUGAGGAUAUGUUGAGUGAUGUGAGGAGGUUUUCAGGCCUCGAGUGUUAUGUGAGGAGGCUUUCAGGCCUCGUGUGUAAUGUGUGAAGGCUUCUAGGCCUAUUGAUAUUGCGCCUGGGCUGUAAGAGCCCCUCCAGUGUCUGUACACACCCCUAGUGAGCGCAGGGUACCCAUGUGAGGUGGGAGUAGGCCCGAGAGGCCGUUGUUUGUGUGUUGGUGAGUUGGGAGUGAGCCCGAGGGGCUGAUGUUGUGUGCUGGUGAGUUGGGAGUGAGCCCGUGGGGCUGAUGUUGUGUGCUGGUGAGUUGGGGUGAGCCCGUGGGGCUGAUACUGUACUGUGAGUUUGAUAUUGAGCCUGAGGGGCAAGCUUUGAUUAUUCUUCACUGUUGAAAUUAAUUGUCUUUACUGUUUUAAAAGGAGAAUUAUCCGAUACUCAUUGUUUUACUGCAUAACUGAUUUUAUUGCUUGAGAUAGCGCUAUAUUGUGCCUUUAUGAGAUUUCAUGCAUUCAGUUCUUAUUUAUUUUUAUUACUCACUGGGUCGGAGUACUCACAUUACUCCCUGCACCAUGUGUGCAGAUACAGGCAGAGCUGAGUUCGCUCAUGAGCGCUGAUUCUUUCUAGACCAGGCGGUGACCACGAGUAACGAGGUAGCUGUUGACGCCCGCAGCCCCGUUUUCUUCCUUAUCUUUGUUAUUAUGAUAUUUCCAUACUUGUAAAAUAUUAGUAAAUUUUGUAGUAGCUCAUGACUUGUGACACCCCGACUUCGGGCUGACUCGGGAUGGAUUUUGUUGUACUGUCAUGCUUAUUUCGUUUUGUGAUUAUGUUAUCUAUUAAUUAAUCUUAUACCUACUAAGAAAUUAUAAAGAUAUGUAAUGUUUGUUAUUGGAUGACCUUGUCUUCACGAGAGGCGCCAUCACGAUCGG